CGGCGAGUGAAGCGGCAAAAGCUCAAAUUUGAAAUCCUUCGGGAGUUGUAAUUUGUAGGUUGGGAGACCCCGCGGCUAGUGGCACCAAGUCCCUUGGAACAGGGCGCCUUAGAGGGUGAGAGCCCCGUAGGUACCACAACACCGUCUUGUGUCUCCUCUCCAAAGAGUCGAGUUGUUUGGGAAUGCAGCUCAAAGUGGGUGGUAAAUUCCAUCUAAAGCUAAAUACCGGCGAGAGACCGAUAGCGAACAAGUACAGUGAUGGAAAGAUGAAAAGCACUUUGAAAAGAGAGUGAAACAGUACGUGAAAUUGUUGAAAGGGAAGGGCUUGCAAGCAGACACGGCCUUCGUGCCGGGCCAGCAUCGGUUGCUAGGGGUGGAUAAGGAACAAGGAAUGUAGCUCCUCGGAGUAUUAUAGCCUUGCGCGAUACACCCACUGGCGACCGAGGCCUGCGGUAUUCCUACCUAGGAUGCUGGCGUAAUGGUUGCAAGCC
rnacentral:rRNA from 1 species